rnacentral:rRNA from 1 species
AUGGGCUCGUACGGGGCGAGUUGGGCCUCCACUUCCACUCUCGGGCCGGCUUCGCAAGAUCAAUUUUCGCUCUCGCACUGUCGUCGCCCUCUUUUCCAGUUUCGGGCUCCCAGUCUGCCGCACCACACACCCCUGCGACCUCACCCGAGAGCGAGCAUGCCCCCGCCGCCGCGGCCGCCGGUGGCCGCGCCUGCCCCGGCAGCACCCUGCCCUAUCCGCGUCGCGCCCAUCCGGCGCCGCCUCCACGCCGUUCCGCGAGCCGUAUCUGUCGCGGCCUCCCACGCGCACGACGCCGCGUUCCUCCGCCGCGCCGCCGACGUGGCCGACCGCUCUGCGGGGCUCACCUGCCCGCACCCCAACUUCGGGUGCGUCAUCGCCCGGCCCGAGCCCGACGGCCCGGAGGCCCGCGUGGUCGGGGAGGGGUUCCUCUACGCGCAGGGCACGCGCUGCGCCGAGCUCCUCGCCGCCGAGGAGGCCGGCGAGCGCGCCCGCGGCGCGACUGCCUACCUCAACCUCGAGCCGGGCGACUGCUACGGGGACAGCACCGCCGUCUCCUCCCUCGUGCAGGCAGGAAUCACAAGAGUUGUGGUGGGCCUUAGACAUCCCUUGAAGCACUUGAGAGGGAAAGCGAUUCAAUCAUUGCGAAGUGAAGGCAUUCAGGUCGAUGUUGUGGGGGAAGAUCUCCAGAGCAAAUUGUUCAAGGAAGCUCUUACUUCAUGCCUCAUCGUAAAUGCUCCAUUACUUUACCGAGCUGCCUUUCGUGUUCCAUUCUCUGUUCUGAAGUAUGCUAUGACUGCAGAUGGAAAAAUUGCAGCUAGUAGUGGGCAUGCGUCUUGGGUAAGCGGCAGAGCAUCCAGAGGCCGAGUAUUUGAAUUGCGUGGAAGAAGUGAUGCUGUUAUAGUUGGUGGGAAUACAGUUCGCCGUGAUGAUCCUCGAUUAACUGCAAGGCAUGUCAAGGGGCAUGUUCCAGUGCGCAUUGUAAUGUCACAAACUUGUAACCUUCCUGAAGAAGCAAAUUUAUGGAAUGUUCAUGAGGCCUAUACAAUAGUUGCAACACAAAGAGGUGCUCGGAGAGAUUUCCAAAAGAAGCUUGCUAUGAAGGGUGUUGAAGUAGUGGAAUUUGACAUGCUAAAUCCUAGAGAUGUUAUGUCAUAUUGUUAUGAUCGUGGUUACCUUUCUGUAUUAUGGGAGUGCGGUGGGACCCUAUCAGCUGCUGCUAUAUCUGCAAGAGUUAUUCAUAAGGUUUAUGCAUUCUGUGCUCCAAAAAUAAUCGGUGGAGUAACUGCUCCAACACCAGUAGGUGACCUAGGGAUGAAUCAAAUGACUCAGGCGAUUGAUUUAAUUGAUGUUUCAUAUGAGCAGAUUGAUCGUGACAUGCUCAUGAGUGGAUUCAUCCAACCUAUUCCUGAUCUAUCACCUGUAAUACCAUCUGCGGAUGAAAUACCUUCAGAUGAUCCAGAAGUAUCUCCGUAUGAAACAAAUAUUAUAUCCUUUUACAAGACUUGGGAUACCUUUGGGGCUUUCUCAAACUUUUCUCCUCAUCCAAUUGACAUGCCUGACGAAAAAGGAGAUUGUUUGACAUGGCCGACAGUGGAGCACUAUUACCAGGCACAUAAGUUUGUUGGUGUUGACAAUCCUCAAGCAAGCGACAUUGUGCAAGAAAUAAAGCAGGCAAGGAGCCCCGAAGAAGCUGCUAGAAUAGGAAGGACCCGGCAAAGAGAAUUCCCUGAAUUGAUACGGCCAGACUGGGAGUCUAUGAAAAUCGAUGUGAUGUACAGAGCUCUGAAAUGCAAGUUUUCAACUUACGCCCACCUGACCGAGAUGCUGCUGUCGACGGCUGGAUCUGUCCUCGUCGAGGCGUCACCCCAUGACUUGUUCUGGGGCGGCGGGCGCGAGGGCGAGGGCCUGAAUUACCUGGGUAGACUGCUGAUGCAGCUGAGAUCAGAGAUUCUGGGAACGGUUCGAACGAGCGCUGAGGCUCAAGGACAGGAGACGUGA